AUGGUGUUCAGGUGUUGGCUACAGUACUGAGCAGUGUACCGCAGUCCGUGACGCCACACAAAGAGAGAAUGGUUCCUGCCCACAGGGCCUGUCAAGACAUUGGGUUCCCUGUGCGAUGGUUCCAUACACA